rnacentral:lncRNA from 1 species
AAAAACCUAGUUAUAAUAUCUCUCCAAAAAAACUCUAAACCUAAUUCCUAUCUCCACACGCCCCUCCCCCCUCCUCUUCUAUUCACUUCUGCCCACUUCUCUCACUGACCAAACUUGCCGGAAAAUUCACCAAAGCCGACGAGUUCGCUCAGCCGAGUCCCAUGGUCCCCCUAUCAUCUUCUCCUUCUUCCACGUCAUCUCUUUCGUACUAAAUCUCAUGAUUCCUUAAACUGAUUCACGCGCUCUCUUCGUUCUUUUUGUUUUUGUUGGGAGAAAUUAGGACCCUUGAAUAAAUCUUGGAAGAAUGGGAACCGUUGGAUGAAGAUUUUGGUUUAAAAUUUCCAUUUUUCCAAUUUUUGUUUGUGAAAGGGGAUUAUCGGAAUUUAUUUGGUGGCCCCACACGUUACUUGGUGACGAAGAAGAAGAUCGAGAGGGAGCUAUAUAUUUUUGGGGGUUCUCCGGAGAGAGAAGGGGAUUGGAGGAGGAAAUUAGGGUUUGUGAGUUCUUCUUCUCUAUUCUUAAAUUUUUUUCCAAAAAAUACAAAAAUAAAUUAGUUUCUUCUCAUCCUUAAAUCUCAUUUUAGAUUUUAGGUCGUAAAAAAAAAGAUAAAAAGUGAGAAGCAUUUUCGAGACAGAGGAUUGGGGAAAUUUUCAGACAAAUUUUUUGAUUUUUGUGGUUUAUUCGAGAUUUUGAGCUUAGGUCAAAUUUUCCAGAAAAGAUAAAAAGGAGAUACUCUGUUCCCCUUUCUCUACUUUCAUUCCAGAUUUUGGCUCUAAUAUGGACUUUGAUUGAGGUUGGUUUAAGUUCUUCGGAGUUGAAGUUCGUUUGCUGUUCGGGUUCCUGUUCUUCUUCUUGUUUUUUUUGCGAUUCACUCCAGUUCCUCAUCGCUGGACUUUCUUGUUCUCGCUUCUAGAAUUAAUUGAAAUUCUGAACAUCCAGGUUCAUUUCUAUUCUAUUUCUCUUGUUUGAUCUUGCCUAUUGUGAAUUAAAACUGAUUGGAAGUCAUUUAAGAUUUCUGGGGUUUAGACAUUUGAUGAUGUUGACUAUUAGUAUCCAAGUAACAAAGGCUAUCUCCCAAAAAAACAAUCAUGUGCUAUAGUUAUUUGGUAUAUUGUUGAAGAAUUUGUAAUUUAAAUCGAAAAAAUUUGACUUAUCUACUGAUUUAGUUUUUGAGACGAAUCUGAUUUUAACCACCUUAUAGUUGAGUUAGUGUUCCAAUUAAGUAGGCAGAAUGAUCCAAAGGUGAAACUGCCAGUACGUCCUUAGUUUUAGCUUUACAGUAGUUUUAAAAGCUUUAAUACUGUGUUUGGAUGCUUGGAAUGCCUAUGUGGUUCGAGUCAUGAUUUAAAGCUCUUUUAUAAAUGAAUAAUUUGUAAAGAGUUAAAAGGAUUAGGAAGUCUCGUUAAUUAUAUUAAGAGUUUGCAUGAGUUAAAUAGCAUUAUUUUAUUGGAAUUCUCUGUUGCAAUUCUCAUUUGCAUUAUGUGCUUUCAUUAUUUGAAUGCCUACGCUGCUUACUCGUUCGUGGAACGGAAAUGGCCAGUUAAAAGGAAGUGAGUUUGAAGUUAACUUUUAUCUCUUUGGUUUUAUUUAUUUUACCUUUAUUAUAUUGUCCGUUAGGAGCAUGCGUAUGCUGAUCACACUUGGAUAAGCAAGCUUUUGGAUUUUGUUUGUUUCGAGGUAAGAGGUCAUUCCUUUUGUUAAAUUUAGUUGUGGAAUGCCCUGAAAGAUUUGUAUAUUUUUAUUCCGGAAAAUGCCUCAUAGUAUUCUGUAUUUGGAAAUCGAUAGUAGAAUUCAGUAUUUUUGUUUUAUUCUCCUUUUAUUAGGUGGGGACGACCUCAAGGCUCUUUUUGAUUGUUUAUUUUCUUUUGCGAGCUUUUACCUCAAUUAGAAUAUCCUUAAAAGCCAACUAGAUCGAGUAUGCAACUGUACUAGUUACCGGACUUGGGGAGUGCCGAACACUUUCUUUCCAAGUUAAAUGAAUCCAUUGCCUAAAAUCUUUGGUGCAGAUUUAGUUUUGGAGUCCAAAGUGUUUUAAAAGGAAAAUUUAUUUUUUUAAAACGGUGACCUGGCACACCGAAAUCAAUGUUAGGUGGUGACUCUGAGAAAAUCCUUUUGAACACAAUUUUGCCACUUUUUAAUUUAGAACGUGUGUUUGAUAUUUACUAAAUCUUUUUAUUUAUUUAAGAGAGUUAGUACAAUUGUCAAAAAAAUGGGUGUGACAAUCUUAAACUUUUGCAGGAGGUACGAUGUGUGCCUCGCCCUUCAUUAUGGAGGAUCAUGAUCCUCUUCCGGUUCUUUGUGAAUAAAAUUGAUUCAUGCACAUUCACCAUCGAUCAUCAGCUCUGCUUAUACAUUCCUCGAGUCUUUCGGGAGGGACAGAUAAAGCUUGUACACCAGGCCAGCAAAGCCUCAUCCUCAAGCAUCGACGAGGACCGAGAUCUGGGUUUGCAAGGACGCUUUGUCUGGGUGAGGACCGCCAACCUGAUACCUUCAGAGAGGAGGUCGUUUCCCAAGAAGUGAAACAUAUCAUGUAAGUGUAACUUCCUCUUAAACAUCAAUUUUGUAUUUUUUCUUCUUUUUCCUUAUCGGUGUUUGAUGUGGUGCAACCCUUGCUUGAGUUCUAAAAGCCAUACCUCGGCUCAAGGAGUGGAUCGGAGACAUUUAUUUGCAAAUUCCUUAUGUCGAGCGUUUGUGGCACAAGCUCUCCAAUGGCCGCUGGGAGGUCCGAUCUCACAGUAAGAUCUUUCUCUUUGAAUAAAUAGUUCUAGACGAUCUUUUUCAGCACUUACAUCCUCGUUGACUCUUUUAUUUUUGCAAGCUUACCUAUGACCAUCGAGCUUAGACCCUUGGUAGGGGCGAGGACCAGCCUGCUGAUCCCUUUAUUUCGAGGAAACCCGGAGCCACAUCAAGAGAAAAGAAAAGGAGGAGGGCCCUGAGGGCCCCGAGUUCCUCAACAAAAAUAACAAAACUCACCCACUAUAAUCCCACAAGUAGGGUUUGGGGAGAGUAGGAUAUAUGCAGCCUUACCCCUAUCCUGAAAGGGUAGAGAAAUUGUUUCUGAUAGACCUUUGGCUAAAAAAGAUGAGAGAAGCCCCGAUAGCAAGUAAUAGCAAGACAAAUAAUUAGAAAACUAAAUCAAAGAUAGCAAUAGAGAAUAUGAAAGGGGUAUCGAUAGCAUGUAAUAGCAAGAUAACAUAUUUAGAAACUAAAUCAAAGGUAGUAAACAAGAAUAUGAACAAAGUACUACUAGCAUACUAUGGAAUUACCGAUGGCAAGUAACAAUGGAAUGAGAGAUGUGAAUAUAGAAAAGGAAGGAAAAAAAAGGAUACCGUACUAGAGCUAAUACUAUCGAAUAAAAGAAGACAAAAGGAAAUGCACGACUACUUACUAACCUUCUAUCCUAAUCUUCAAUCUCCACACCAUUAUAUCUAGGUUCAUGUCCUAAGUUAGUUCAAGGUGCACCAUGCUCUGCCUGAUUACCUAUCCUCAAGGCUUUUUAGGCCUACCUCUAUCCCUCCUUGAACCUCCCUAGCAAAACCUCUCACAUCUCCUAACAGGGGCACCUGUGCUUCUCCUCUUAACAUUCCCGAACCAUCUCGACCUUGCCUCACGCAUCUUUGCCUCCACAGGUGCCAAUCCCACCUUAUACCGAAUAACUUCGUUCCUAAUUCUAUCCUACCUAGUAUGACCGUAUAUCUAUCUCAACAUCUUCAUUUUCACUUCUUUCAUCUACUAGACAUGGGAGUUUUUGACUGGCCAAUACUCUGUCCCAUAUAACAUAGUCGGUCUAACCACUACCUUGUAGAACUUAUCCUAAAGUCUCAACUACAUAUUCUUGUCACAAAUGACACCGUAAGCGAGCCUCCCUGCUCCGAUACAGUGUAUGACAUACUCAUCUAUCUCCCUAUCCUUUGGAAUUAUAGAUCCUAGAUACUUGAAACUCUUUCUCUCUCUCUCUCUCCCCCCCCCCUAGAAAUGACUUGUGUAUCGAGUCCCACAUCCCUAUCCGCCUCUUGGGUAAAACAGCUGAACUUGCACUCCAAGUAUUCUGUCUUGGUCCUGCUCAACUUAAAACCCUUAGACUCCAAGGUAUGUCUGCAGACCUCCAGCCUCUCUUUACUGCCACCUCGCGUCUCGUCGAUCAGGACUAUGUCAUUCGCAAAUGCACCAAGGCACCUCCCCUUGAAUGUGACGCGUCAAAGAAUCCAUCGUCAUGGAAAACAAAAAUCGGCUAGGUGUUGAUCCCUGAUGCCAUCCCAUCUCAACCGAAAAGUAUUCAGAGUCUGCUCUUGUUGUCCUAACUCGUGUCUUAGCUCUAUCAUACAUGUCCCAAUUCACUCUAAUAUACGGCACAUGCACUCCUCUAGCCUCCAAACAUCUCCAUAGAACCUCUCUCAGGACUUUGUAUUAGGCUUUCUCCAAGUUAAUGAGCACCACAUGUAAAUCCUUCUUCAUCGCCCUAUACUGCUUCACCAAUCUCCUCACAAUGUGAAUGGCCUCAGUAGUCGACCGUCCCGUUAUGAGACCAAAGUGGUUCUCAGAAAUAGACACACACGUCCUCAAUAUUGACACCCAAAUUCAACCUCAUAUUUCUCAUAUAGUAUAAACACUCUCGGAACAUCAUUAUUUGGUUUAUAAAAUCUAUACAAGCAUUUUCUGCAAUUUUUCAUAGUUUUUAAAGCUUUAAAAUUAAUUUUCUUGCAUUUAAAUUACUUGAAUAUUCAUUAAUUACUCAUUCGAAUUAUUUUUUGAUGACUUAAUUACCUAAAUCAUUAUUUUCACCCAUAAUACGUGUUUCAAAGAUUGUUACUUCAUUUUAUAUAAUUACAUUAGUAUUUUUAAGCUGUUUGCACAAUCUUGCAAUGAUAACUUAUAUUUUACAAUUUUAUUGCAUUUAUCAUUUUAUUCAAGAUCAAAAUAAUAUCAUACAUUUUUAUAAUGUUCUAUUAUUUUUUAAAAGUAUUAAUUUGUAUAAAUAGUAUUUUAUAGUUUAUUUAAUCGUUUUUGUUAACUUUUAGUCUUAAUUUCCUAUUUUAAAAUCUGGCUCAAAUUUGGGAUUAAUUUCAGACCAUUUAAGGUCCAAAUGAGCCAUUGGCCCAAUAACCUCAACAGCCCAAGCGAGCCAAUAAUCGUACCCAGUCCAAAACCUGACCCAGCUUGUUUUAAAUCCCACUCGUUGAUCAAAAGUGAUCAACGGCUCACAACACUCCAUACCCUUUCCUUAUAUGCCUCACCAAACCCUAGUCUCAAUUUGCCUUCAGCAGUCGCUUCUAAACACUGCUCCCUUCUUCAAAAACCCUUUGGCCUUCUCAAUCUUCUCUGAAUCCGUUUCAAUCAUGGAUUCCUUCUAUAAUUUUCUUACCUUUUAUCUGUUACUUUAAUAUUAUUUGUGGGGUUGUGGUUCUACUUAGCAUUGCCCUAUUUUUGGCAAAUAUCAAUCUCUGAAUCAAGGAAGAUCAGCUUCACUCUUCCAUAUUUGGAUGAUUUUUCCUCUAUAUACAUAUAUGGGAAUAUUAUACGGGUCCAAUUCAGUGAAAUCUUUCGAUUAUUUUGGUUCUUCAUCAUGAACUACGGUUUACCUAAUUUUUCUCCUAAUUUGAUUGAUAUUGCAUGUUAUUAUUUCUUUAUUUAUGUUUGAUUUUAUGGUGUUUCUUUGUUCCUUUUCUCUAGUUCCACUACAAUAUAUAUCCUUCCCCUUUUCCCCUUUGAAAAAACUUUUAACAACUAGAUUCACUAGAAAUCAAAGCUAUUAUUCUCAUUCUCUUGUUCUAUACUUUGACUCUUGGCUGGCUGAAAGCCAAGGCUAUCGAAAUUUGACUUUUCUACUUUUCUUAGUGCGAGUACUGCUCGGGGUUCAUUUGAAGACCUUGGGAACUCUGACGCACUAAGAUUCUAGACUCUAUUGCUCUUUGUUGACACUCAGAAUACUGUGGAGUUUGUUCUUUCUUGUUGUAUGUUUAUUAAACUGAUAACUGGUAAGUCUCUUGGCUUUUACAAUUCUAUUCUUCUGUGUUUAUGUCUUUUAUAUUUAAACCUUUGGAAUUUCAUGAUGUUAUGUGUUUCUUAGCUGUCUCUAUGUGCAACCUUCUCAGAGUUGAACUUGUUUUAUGAUUUUAGCUUUUUAGCAAUUGAUUUUAGUUAAAAUUUCCAAUUCUAUGAUAUGUUAUUUUUACAUACUUUACUUGAACAAUUUGAACUCUCUUAAGCUCGUAUGUUAGUAUCUGAGUAUUUACCUUUACUGCCUGCCAUGAGUGGUUGUAUCGACCCGACCAGUUGUUUUGAGAAUUUACGCCCUGAUCCCCUAUUAACGGUUUUCCUCGUGUUUAUUUCUGCUAUUGUGGGCUUCUCAGAAGAUUCUUAUUGAGUUUUGGAAUAUUUUGGGACACUUAGUCCCUAAUUGAGAGCUUAAGCUUAGAAUUUAGACCGUAGUCGGAGUAGUAUAAAAUGUCCUAGAAAUGGAAUUUCGUUAAUUCCGUUAACUUUGUUGGGUGAUUUUGGGCUUAGAGCCGUGUUUGGAUUAUGCUUUGAAGGUCCGUAGCUUAUUUAGGCUUAAAAUGCAAAAAAGUUGAAUUUUUGAAGUUUUCGAAUCGCUUGUGAAAUUUUAAUAUCGGAGUCGGAAUCUUAUUUUGAAAGUUGGAAUAACUCCGAAUUAUUGAAUGUGACUUGUGUGCAAAAUUUGGAGUUAAUCGGACUUGGUUUGGUUGGUUUUGUCAUCGGUUGUAGAAUUCUUGAGAUUUAAAGUUCAUUAGGCUUGGAUUGCAGGGUGAUCGUGGUUUUAGCAUUGUCUAAUGUGAUUUGAGUGUUGGAAUAAGUUUUUAGGAUAUUUUAGGAUUGGUUGGCAUGUUUGGUUUAGGUCUCGAGGGCCUCGGGUGAGUUUCAAAUGCUUAACGGAAGUUGAUUUUAACUUAGGCAAUUGCUGAAGUUGCUAAACAUGUUGGCUUCGCACCUGCGGAAUUUGGACCGCAGGUGCCGCGACACAGAAGUGGAUUGGGAACUGCAGAUGCGGUCUAAGGCACAAGUGAAGCUGGUCACAGAUACAACCUAAAGACCGGAGAAGCAAAACCACAUAUACGAGUAAAGGGUCGCAGGUGCAGAAUUUUGCCAUUUAAUGAAAGUCCGUAGGUGCGGAGUAGGAGCUGCAAGUGCAGUAGACCCCUCGCAGAAGUGGAAAUCACUGGGAAAAAUAUGAAAAUCGAGGGUUUGAGUUUAUAACUUUAAAAAAUGAAAUUGUAGCUCGGAGGAAGGCGAUUCUAUGGGGAUUUUUAAGAGAAUAUCAGUGGAUAAUGAUUCCUAACCCCUUUUUGAUUGUAUUUGAUUAAUCUUGCUUAAAUUCAUCGUUUUAAAUUUUGGAUUUGGUGAAAAAUUAGGAAAAUUUGAGAAAAGUUCUUAGGUCGAAUUUGAGAAAAUUUGAUAUAAGAGGGGUUGCUCUGAUGGUAAGCAAUCCCCACUUCCAACCGAGAGGUUGUGAGUUCGAGUCUCCCCUAGAGCAAGGUGGGAAAUUCUUGGAGGGAAGGAUCCUGGGGGGUUUAUUUGGAAACAGUCUCUCUACCCCAGGGUAGGGGUAAGGUCUGCGUACACACUACCCUCCGCAGACCCCACUAAGUGGGAUUAUACUGGUUUGUUGUUGUUUUCUUAGGCCGAAUUUUGGGAUUUUGAUCGAGAUUUUUGCAUCGGAUUUGAGUGAUUUUGGUAUGGUUAGACUCCUGAGUAAAUGGGUGUUCAUAAUUUGUAAUGUUUACCCGAUUUCGACACGAGGGCAUGGGAAGGAUUUUUGGACAUUUUUCCUCUUUCUUGCCUUAGCUUCGAUUCCUUUAGCUAAACUCGGUUGUAGUUAUAUUUACAUUAUGAAAUUAAUUUGAUUUGAUUUGGGCCACUCGAAAAGUUGGAUACUUGUGGCAAGAACGUGAUUUCGGAUUGAAUUGAGCUUGGUUCGAGGUAAGUGACUUGCCUAACCUUGUGUGGGGGAACACUCCUUAGGAUUUUUGUAUUGUUAUUAUAUGACAUAUUGUGUACGUGAAGUGACGAGUGUACAUGUGCUAAUUGCUGAAAACCCCAAUUUUCAUUAAAUUAAUAAUCUGUCGUUCCUUUUAAUUGAGCAUUACUUGUAUUUGAAACCUACUGUUUAUCAUGCUUAAGCGACUUAGUUAUUUUAUCUGUUUAACUGCUUACUUGGUUUCUGUGCAUCAUGUUAGGAGUAGGAAUUCAUGUUCCUUGGUACGAACUUGAAUAUGACCGUAGAUUUCUUUCUUGAGACUGUUGUGUGUUUAUUUUGGGACUACAGGAUGGUAUCACGAGAGAUCCCCCUGCAUGUUUACUUUGGGACUAUAGAUCGGUAUUCCUGGAGAUCCUCCUGCACAUUUAUAUUUGGGACUACGGACGGCAUCUCGAGAGAUUCUCCUGUACUGGAUAUUUAUAUUUAGAACUACAGGACGGUAUCCCGGGAGAUCCUUUUGUACUAGAUAUUUAUAUAUGGGACUACGGGAUGGUAUACGGGGAGAUCCCCAGUACUGGAUAUUUAUUUUGGGAUUAUCGAUCAGUAUUGCGGGAGAUCCCCCUACUGUUAUUACUACUUACUGGGUUAUUUUCUUUCUGAGAUUUCAUGUUACUUGACUGUUAGCAUUGUUAAUUAUAUUGUCACGCCUACACUAUUUUUCCUUAUUAUAUAAUUAUAUAACCAAUAGGGCCCUGACCUUCCUUGUCCCUACUCGACCGAGGUUAGACUCGGAACUUACUAGGUACCGCUGUGAUGUACUCAUGCCCUUUCCUGCACAUGUUUUUCGUCUGCAG